AGUGAACGCUGGCGGUAGGCCUAACACAUGCCAGUCGAACGGCAGCACAGUAAGAGCUUGCUCUUACGGGUGGCGAGUGGCGGACGGGUGAGGAAUACAUCGGCAUCUACUUUUUCGUGGGGGAUAACGUAGGGAAACUUACGCUAAUACCGCAUACGACCUACGGGUGCAAGCAGGGGAUCUUCGGACCUUGCGCGAUUGAAUGAGCCGAUGUCGGAUUAGCUAGUUGGCGGGGUAAAGGCCCACCAAGGCGACGAUCCGUAGCUGGUCUGAGAGGAUGAUCAGCCACACUGGAACUGAGACACGGUCCAGACUCCUACGGGAGGCAGCAGUGGGGAAUAUUGGACAAUGGGCGCAAGCCUGAGCCAGCCAUACCGCGUGGGUGAAGAAGGCCUUCGGGUUGUAAAGCCCUUUUGUUGGGAAAGAAAAGCAGCAGGUUAAAACCCCGCUGUUCUGACGGUACCCAAAGAAUAAGCACCGGCUAACUUCGUG
rnacentral:rRNA from 1 species